rnacentral:rRNA from 1 species
AUUUCUUCCAGGAUUANGGRAAUGGUAAGAACGGCCACGCNUGAGGAUUUAARUGUMUCUUKUAGUUGCUCAAUGAACUUGAUCUUUCAGUACAAAAGCUGAAAUAUUCCCAUAAGACGAGAAGACCCUGUGGAGCUUAAGCUAAAACACUACUAUUAUAUAGUGCCUCCCUUUAGUUGGGGCGACUACGGAACAAAACACAACUUCCCUGCCACACAAUUAACCCCGCAACGACACACAUGUCACUGCACCCCUACCACGACCCAGUACUACUGACUAACGAACCAAGUUACCCCAGGGAUAACAGCGCCAUCCUCUUCUAGAGCCCCUAUCGCCAAGAGGGUUUACGACCUCGAUGUUGGAUCAGGACAWCWUGGUGKGCACNGCAAUUUUUCCGCCCCUCCUCMCGGUUCUUUKGUUUAUCUCUAAAUGGGGGAAAUGAUCGCUUUUUCUGACCUGAAAGGGACAGAAUGU